AAAAAGCAUGAAAUAGGUUCAUACAGUGUCGUGUACAGGAAGAUAAAUUAUACUCAAAAUCUGGAAACUUUAGUUCUUGAUCAAGGAUUAGCAAAUGUUUUCCUUGAAGAGUCAGAUAGUAAGUAGUUUAGGCAAGGCAAGACCUACCAUCUCUGUUGCAGCUCCUCAUCUCUGCUGUUGUAACGUGAAAGCAGCCAUAGACAGUAAGCAAAUGAAUGAGUAAAGCUCUGUUCCCUUAAAAGUUUAUGCUCAAAAGCAAGUGGACAAUUAGAUUAAUCCUGCUGCUAGUAGUUUGCUACUACUCUUGUUUUAGACUUCACCUUGCCAUUUGUUAGUGUGUAACCCAAGGAUAAAUCAAACUUAGAGUUUCAUUUUUCUUAUCAGUGAAGUGAGAAUAAUAGCAGCAACCUCCUUGACAUUCCCAGUAUGAGGAAACAAGAAAAUGCUUAUGAACAUUUUUGGAACUGUCUAUUGUGUGAGAGUAGACUCAGCCUGCAAGUCUUGAGUUUCUGCUGUUUCCACUAAAGUAGGAGUGCUACUCUGAAGCACAACACAGCCUUGGUUACACCCUCCACAGCAUCCGCGAGGACACAAACAAGAGAACUUGACUGACAGCCAUUAUGCAUAAUUGACUAAGCAAGAAUCUAACUGCUGGCUUGCUCUCCCUCUGCAUAUAGGAUCCUCAUGGGGGCGCGAUUCCAGGAAUACGCCUGCCAGGCCCCGUCCUGGGCCACCUGUGUGUCUUGAAUCAUUCAUUACAAGGUGUCCUCAACUCAACUUGCAAAAUUGAAGUGUCUUAAGCAAGUUAAAGAACUCUGCAGAGAAGUGGCAUGGUGCCUCAGUAAAGCCUCGUGAGAAAUAGACAAUGAUCAGGUUCAGGCUUUGGGGCAAAAAGAAUUAAUGAGCUUCAGUGGGAGUGACACUCCGACUUGCCGUUGUCAGGACAUCACCCCACAUUACCCCUCAUCUUCUGUCUCCCACAGAAGGCCUCGCUUCCAAGCUGGAUUUGAGUCACUAUCAUUAUCCUCGGAACAGACUUUCUCACAGUUCUUUUUUGCAGACGGUAACAUACUGGGGUUAAUUUUAGAUAUCACCAACUUGGAAUUUAUUUUGGAUUCCAGAAGUUUACAUUUAGGUCUGCUAAAACGCACAACCUGCAGGGGUGGGUGUAUGUGUGUGCACGCGCGUGCGCGUGAAACCCAUCAACUUUCUUUAAUAACUCUGAAUAUGAGUUAUUUCAGAGUAUUUUCAAUGGAUUGCUAAUUUUGUGCCAAAAUUAAAAUGAAAUUUUAAACCAAAAGAACUUACAGAUGAAUUGCAGAGCUCAUUUGCUUUUUACCACAUUCUUUCAAUUGUGAUUUUUUUAUCCAUAUAUAAUGUGUGUGUGUGCAUAUAUAUAUAUAUAUAUAUAUAUAUAUAUUUGCCACACUUCAGUUUCUAAAGCUUUAUUUUUGGUCAUUGUAAGACACAGCAUGACCGAAUGUGCUAUGUUCUAAUCUUCAUAACAAUUCUGUAGGUUACCUCAGUUUCUUAGAAAUUAGAAAACAGAGGCUCAGAGAGAGGUGACUUAACUUGCUGAAGGCCAUUGGGCAGGAGAGUGGCAGAGCGGGCAUUGUGAUGAUGCUUCCUUGUUUCCAGGCUUGUGCUGUUUCCAUUAGCACCGUUUCCUCAGGGCUCUAUGCUUAGGCACAGUUCGCAGAAGGGCAUUUCCUAAUGGAAGCUCCCAAACGACCGUGUAUGCCACCGUGUGGGGUGAAAUGAACCUAUGUGAUGGAUAGAAUCUUCAGAUAGCUUGAAGAAGUUAAAAUAUGGACUCCUCAGACACAUUCAACCAAAUCAUAUUUGGUAGCAAGCACUGGGAAUGCAAAUUUCUGUGCACAUAGCCCACAAGUUUGCAAUGAUUGGCCAAUGGUGUGAUAUACAGACAUAGUAGAACUAUCAUUAGAUUUGAAUGUAGAAUGUGUGGAGUUUUGCUCUGGCUCUGUUAUUAGCUGGGUAUUUUAAAGGAAAACAGUUCAUCUCUCUGGGUCUUUCUGCAUUCAAAAAAUGAGGAAAAAAUCAUUUCGUUGUGAGAAUAACAUAUCAAAUAUUUGAAAGCACUUUAUGACGUACAAUAAAGUAUAAAUGAAGCUUUAGGCUUCCUGAAAAGUCAGACGUAGAAUAAACUUUCACUUAUCAAAUCAUAUUUUCCUCUAAUAAGUUCCAUCAUUUCAAUGAGUUGUUCAAGGGGGGAAAAUGUCUGGGUUCUCACAUGGAAUCAGAAUAACAUUUAAGAAUGGCUUAAUACUGGAUUCAGAAAGGAUUUAUCUGUUAUGGUUCCAUAGAUCCUGUGCUCGUCAUUUUCCUUCAAUAAUCUAGCAAAGAAUUAAUGGCACUCAAAAUCAAUCCACCUGCACUUUGCACAUAUUUUAAAUACCCAUUAAAACAAAUAGAACCAAGUCAAUAAAUAUUUUUUUUAACACUG